rnacentral:lncRNA from 1 species
GGACACACAAGCAGCACAAUCAGAGAAGACUUACAAGAAAUCACAAACUUCAGCAGCAACAGCACCUUCUAGGCCAACUCAGCCUGCACAGAUUACAUGUAUAAAUUCACAGCACUUGUAAAUCAAACUUAGUUCGAAACAUCUUCUUUGAGGGAAAGGAAGCAAGCUCUAUACUAUGAGGCAACUUCGGACAGAUUAUCCUUAAGAAGAAGGCGAUACGUGUCAAACAAAAUUACUUCUAAGUAUCUUUUGACAAGGACCAAUUCAAGCAUCACUAGUGUCCCACAUCGUUCUCAUCUAUCGCAGGAUACCAACAACUUUGUUUGGGAUUAGCACUUUCAAUUGGUUGCAACAAAAAAAUUGGCUGCAUAGAUUGCACCUGAGGUAAUGAUUCUCCAAAUACUACAUGAUGCUAAAUAUUAGUUUUCCGGCAGCAGUCUAGGACAAUGAAAACAAAGUGCCAAACCAUAAUGCUGAUAAGAAACCCAGAAUCAAUGACCAAUUUGGCAUCUUUCUUCUUAAUCUUUUAGAAAACUGCAGAGGAUAAGUAAUAAAAAAAAAUGAAUAGUGAAGAGGAUUCAACAACGUAGGACAUAGAACCAAAAAAAAAGAUAAUGCAGAGUAAACAAGAGGACCGGAAAAAGGGUUCUGUAGCCUUUGGUUACAUUUUAUAUAAUAAAGAAGAAUUUAUCAUUGUGCAUGGGCGGAAAGUUCAAUUAACUCUCAUUCUAUGGCAGCCAAAGUUCUUAGUUCUUACACCCUUAGCACCUAUCUGAAGCUUUAUGAAUCAAUAAUAGCAGGGAAGAACUAUAAUGGGAAGCAACACUAGUAGUAGCUGCAGAAGCACUUGGUCUUUGUGCACCUUCCCUCACUACCAAUCCUCUAGUAAAAUGAUCACCUCAGUACAAGAAUUAAACCACAUGCAUUAAAAAGAGACUAACGCCAUAACAUGGCAGGCUUUAGGUAUCCCAUAGACAACUAUGAUUGAAGCUAACUGAAUAAGCAAAUGGGACUCAAAUUAAGAAGUAACUGCGACCCUCAAAUUUGAAGGUACACACAUGCUCCACAAAAGUCACGACUAGCCAAAAAGAUCCAAAGCAUUUUCCAAGGCUAAGGGACAUUAGUGGUCUCUUGUUUAGACAUGCAAGAGAAGCAAAGUGGUCUCUUGUUUACACAAUAGAGUACCACAUAAGCACCACAUUUGAGAUCUAGAAUGAUAUAACUAACUUAAACCAGGUUGCAAUCGGACUGUGGCACAUAGAGAACCGUAAAUAGAGUGAGAGUGGAAUUGACAUAAACAAGUCCAACCCCCUUAAUUUCAGUCAUUGAUCCAUCAGCAAUCCUUACCCAUGCAUUCUUUAGGUAAGGUUGUAGGUUGUGGAUGAUGGACGCAUCUAUUGUCACAUUGUCAGUGCACCAUAAUCAACUCUCCACACAUUACACUGUUUAUGGUGACUAAGAUAGGCCUAACAAAUACCUCGUGUGAAACCAUUCUCGUGUGAUGUUCAGAAGAUCAUGACAAUCUAGCAUGGCUUGAGAACUUGUGGACUUCUCAAGCAACUCAAUUUGACCCGCUAAGAAUGAGUCUAAAGGGCUUGUUUGUUUGUCUUCGACCUUCUAAGCUACGUUGACACAUCCAUGCCUCUUGGUUUUGGGUGUCCACACAGGUGGUCCACCAAUGAUAUGCCAUCCUUGGUAUGGCAUGUGCGUUUGAAAUGAUCACAAAAUUUCACCGAUAAUCUUUUGAUAGCCAACGCAGAGCCUUCCUCGACAAUCUUCAAUGAGCCCACGGCAUCACACGACAACGACUUGCCCCUAACCGGAUCUCAACAAAAGCUUUCCGAAGUUCAAGAACGGGUUUCUCAUUCAGCACCCUACCUCUAGCAACAUCAAGGCUAUCAUUUAAUCCCAAUAAGAAUCUAACCGUAUGGAUCUCCCCCACUAAUUCCUUAUAGAGGGUCGCAUCAGUAGUGGAAGUCUAUUUGGGGUCUUAAUACUUAUCAAUCACCAGACACAAAUGGCAUAAGGUAUUGUAGUAUUCUAAAAUGGACUUAUCACCUUGUUUAAGAUUGUAUACCUUGAUCUCUAUGUCCAUAAUUCUGGUUGUGUUGUCAACAUUGGAGUAAGCAUCUUCCGCAUGAUCCCAAAUAUCAUUUGCGGUCUUUUCGAGGAGUGAGUGAUCUCCAAUGGUUGGUGUCAUAAAGCUAAGUAACCAUGUUUUCACAAGGUUAUCAUUCGGCUUCCAAGCCUUGAACUUAGAGGCUGACUCCUCAGGUGUCGAGAUUUCUCCCAUCAAAUAGCCCUGUUUUCCUCAGCUGCUAAUGAAGAUGAGGAAUGACUGGGACGACUGGAGAUAGUUAUCAUCGGUUAGCUUGUGAGAACAGAUGUAGUUCUCAUAGUUUGUUGACGUGGUAUUGGUUGGAGAUGUAUUAUGGGUUGAUGGUCUCCAGUUUCUCCUGACACAAUCUCUCCAACAGCUCCAAACUUGAAGGUGGUUGGCGCCAUUGAUUGAAAGAACAUAUCGUCUGACAGGAAAGAGAUAGUUGGUGGCUUAUAGUUGGUUCGCAACCUGAAGCUUUGAUACCAUACAAAUGUUUAGGGAAGAAAUAUUACCUUCUGAUUAUUAUUUUGCUCUUAGGUAGGAAACAUAUAUAUCGGAAGCAGUAAGGUGCCUGCCAUAAGGAGAACACUGAACUACCUAUUUAGGAAUGUAAAAUAAGCUCAGUAAUAAUACUAGUUAUUAGCCUAACUUAAUCAUGGGAUAGGGGAGUAUCCACCAUAUCUCUAUAGUGUUCUUAGUUUCUACAACCUUUACAACAUAGAGGCAAUUACUAGAAUGUGGACAAGACAUAUGAAAAGGGAUCCAUGAUCAGACGCAAUCAAAUAUUCACAAAAGAAACCAAUUUUUAUAUUUUGUUUUGAGUAUUAUUCAAUUGUCUAAUUGCUACUUAACUUAACAUAGUCCAUUUUUUUCCUUAAAAAACAGUCUAUUUUUGUUAAACUUGUUUACUAUCUUUUUUGAGAUUAUAAGGGUUGUUAUUCCACUUCAUCAGUUAGCAGUGCGGCAGUUUAGGAGUUGUACCUAUUGGUCCUAUAGUGUUCUAGAUUUAUGACAAAUUUGAUAUUAUGAAACACUGGAUUUUUUAUACAAGUUCCAACAUAGAUUAAUCUCACAAUUAGUUCAGAUUUACGAAAUUAUGGAGAGAAAGACUUAUUCUAAGAUAGAUAGAGACUGUAUAUUAGCAAUGAGGUUAUUUUGUUUUCAACAAUAGUAAGAGGUUGAAAUGAGAAGUCGGCAGUUGGAGCUCAGAAUUCUUUUCAUGUCUAAAGGCUCUUGAACAUGAGGUGCUCAACCUAGGUUUUUAGUAGAGUAUAGAGCACUUCUAAAACUCACAUCAAGCAAGCUCUAGAACUAAAAUCAGAAAACAUAUAGAGCCAUUUAUAUUUUACUGAACAAUACAACAUGCUACUCAAAGAAUCAGCAAGAGAUCAAGAACCUAUGCCAUAUCAUGCCACAACCAAUACAUUAAAAGACAACUUUGUAAACCUUAUCAGGGUAAACACAUUUAGUACUAAUGAGUACAACCAAAGCAGCUUACAUGUCAACUUUAAUCAAACAUUCACAAGUUUUAUCCUACAAUCGACAGACGACAAUAUGAGAGUCAAACAAACAUAACACCCUCUUUUAAACGCCCAAGGCGUGGACAUCUAUUUUUCUGGAGAGUAAAAUAGACCAAGCAUUCCGUUGAAAUGUACUAUUGAUUUAUAAAUUCCGUAAGCCACGAGCCACCAAAAGCAUCAAAUAAGAACACAGCUUGCAAUUCCAGAUACAAACCAAAACAUAAAGAGGAAAAUAAACAAUUGUAUCUGCUACUAGCUAGUAACACAAUGUAAGGUUUCUAAUUGUGAUCAUGCAUCUAGAGAAAUUACGAUCACAAAUUAGCAACCAAAGCUUGAGUCUGGAUUUAGGAAACCAAAAGGAAGAUGUGUGCCUAGUAUAGCUGCCUGAGCAAUAUUUUAUGUGGCUGUUUCCAACAGUGUGCUCAAGCAAUCAUAUAAAACAAAACUUAAAUAGGUUGCUUUCGCGUUCUCGAAACCAAGACAAUCUAAGGAGACACAGAACAUUUCAACUGGCUAGGGAUUUGAUAAUGCAAUAUUCUGAAGAGAGCGUAGCAGGAAAAAAAUCAGCAACUAUAACUCUUAGAAACGCGGACUUACAUGCCAGUUGAUUGCAAUCCAGAUGGACCACAAGAACCUCCCCCCAGCCGUUUGAAUUGUCAGCCAAGUACACCUGAGAAUAAGAAAUCAUUAUCAAGUAAGGAAAAAAGAUACUAGUACUUAAAUGGAACAAACAGCUGAGAAUUCCCCAGUGAAAGGAAGAAAGAAGACACGAAAUCCUUUGCUGAGUUAACAAUGUAAGUGAAGUUAAAGUUUAAACCGAUUGUUGUUCAUGAUUAACUGCGGCUAGAAGUCCCCUCUCGAGUAUAACCAAAAGGCUCCUGAGAGAGAAGACUCGAAGUUAUCCGGCUAUGAGGAAAGAAUCCGCUGCUGAGGAGACAACUGACUGAUCGAGUAACCGUAACUAAUGCGGAGAAGACGUAGGUAUGGGAAAGCUUGUAAGGCAACAAAAUGGCGAUUGAGACGUUGUGGAGACGGCGACCUAGCAGAUUCAAAAUUUUGAAGGAAGACGGAAACGGCGAGAUCUGCUUCAAUGUGGGAGACAAGUAAAAUUUAGAGAAGAAGGAAGAGAGGAGAAGGAAGGAGGGAGAUGAGGAAUUUCUCGAAAAUG